rnacentral:rRNA from 1 species
UCGAACGGACGAUCAGGGCUUGCUCUGAUCGUUAGUGGCGGACGGCUGAGUAACGCGUGGGUGACCUACCCCGAAGUGGGGAAUAACUGCCCGAAAGGGUGGCUAAUACCGCAUGUGGUGGUGCGUUCGAUCGCACCAGUAAAGCCGCAAGGCGCUUCGGGAGGGGCCUGCGUCCGAUUAGCUCGUUGGUGGGGUAACGGCUCACCAAGGCGACGAUCGGUAGGUGGUCUGAGAGGACGAUCACCCAGACUGGGACUGAGACACGGCCCAGACUCCUACGGGAGGCAGCAGUCGGGAAUUUUGCGCAAUGGGCGAAAGCCUGACGCAGCAACGCCGCGUGAGGGAUGAAGGCCUUCGGGUUGUAAACCUCUUUUUUCAGGGAAGAUAAUGACGGUACCUGGAGAAUAAGUCACGGCUAACUACGUGCCAGCAGCCGCGGUAAUACGUAGGUGACAAGCGUUGUCCGGAUUUACUGGGCGUAAAGAGCGCGCAGGCGGUCGUUCAAGUCGAGUGUGAAAGCCCCCGGCUCAACUGGCGGAGGGUCACUCGAUACUGAUCGACUCGAAGGCAGGAGAGGGAAGUGGAAUUCCCGGUGUAGUGGUGAAAUGCGUAGAUAUCGGGAGGAACACCAGUGGCGAAGGCGACUUCCUGGCCUGUUCUUGACGCUGAGGCGCGAAAGCUAGGGGAGCAAACGGGAUUAGAUACCCCGGUAGUCCUAGCCGUAAACGAUGGACGCUAGGUGUUGGUGGUAUCAACCCCGCCAGUGCCGAAGCUAACGCAUUAAGUGUCCCGCCUGGGGAGUACGGCCGCAAGGC